UACGAACUGUGCGAACGUUAUUCGGAAUCACUGGGCUUACAGGGUGCGUAGGCGGCUUGGCAAGUCGGGUGUGAAAUCCCCAGGCUUAACCUGGGAACUGCAUCCGAUACUGGAUGGCUUGAAUCCGGGAGAGGGAUGCAGAAUUCCAGGUGUAGCGGUGAAAUGCGUAGAUAUCUGGAGGAAUACCGGUGGCGAAGGCGGCAUCCUGGACCGGCAUUGACGCUGAGUGAGCGAAAGCCAGGGGAGCAAACGGG
rnacentral:rRNA from 1 species